rnacentral:rRNA from 1 species
UACGUAGGGUGCAAGCGUUAAUCGGAAUUACUGGGCGUAAAGCGUGCGCAGGCGGUUGUGCAAGACCGAUGUGAAAUCCCCGGGCUUAACCUGGGAAUGGCAUUGGUGACUGUACGGCUAGAGUGUGUCAGAGGGGGGUAGAAUUCCACGUGUAGCAGUGAAAUGCGUAGAGAUGUGGAGGAAUACCGAUGGCGAAGGCAGCCCCCUGGGAUAAUACUGACGCUCAUGCACGAAAGCGUGGGGAGCAAACAGG